UGGGGAAUAUUGGACAAUGGGCGCAAGCCUGAUCCAGCAACGCCGCGUGGAGGACGAAGGCCUUAGGGUCGUAAACUCCUGUCAGUAGGGACGAAAAAGUAGGGUCGAACAGGCCCUGCCAUUGACGGUACCUGCAGAGGAAGCCCCGGCUAACUCCGUGCCAGCAGCCGCGGUAAUACGGAGGGGGUUGAGCGUUGUUCGGAAUUACUGGGCGUAAAGCGCACGUAGGCGGACCAGAAAGUUGGGGUGAAAUCCGGGGCUCAACCCGGAACUGCCUCCAAAACAUAUUGGUCUAGAGUUCGAGAGAGGUGAGUGGAAUUCCAAGUGUAGAGGUGAAAAUUCGUAGAUAUUUGGAGGAACACCAGUGGCGAAGGCGGCUCACUGGCUCGAUACUGACGCUGAGGUGCGAAAGUGUGGGGAGC
rnacentral:rRNA from 1 species